UGGGGAAUACAAUUAGAGUCCCAUGUUGAACGGAAACGAAACUGUUUUGCUCCCUGUCUGGUUAGGUCGAUUAGACCGUGCGACUAAACUACAGAAAGAGACUGACUUGACUAUCCAAUUCUUGGUCUAUCGGGCGUGACGCUAUAAGAGUGAUGACCAUUUAGGUUUCUCUGGAGAUCGUCAGCGAAUUGUUUACAUUUUAUGCGCAAAUUAAUGAUUUUACAAUUCUAGGAAUACUAUUGAACAAUGCUUUAAAUAAUUCAACGAUCCAGCAGGUAUCCCUGCUCUCUAACCCGUAGCGUUGAACGGAAAAACGGAAAUAUGGUUGUUUACGUUUAAUUUAAUGACAGAAAAUGAAAUGCAGGGGUUCCUCAGAACCUUGUAACGUGUUGAGUUGUUGGACGGUGCCGAUGCUGCUGCUUGUGUUGUCCAAACAUUUAAAUGUUACCAACUGGGAGAGGAGCCCUGAGCAUGCGUGUCCAGAUCUAAGACUAUUGCUGCGGUAUAAAUACAGCAUUCUAGCUCAGAAUAGCUACUCUGUUAUUUGGGGGAAUCAAAUAUUGCGAGACUGGAAUUCUCCAAAACUAAAUUGAGUAUUAAUUGAAUUUUGGGAGAAAGAUGCUAUUUUACAGGCAAUGAUUGGCCUUUAUUAAAUGCACUUCAUUGAUCAACUUGUUCCAAGAUGGACCAGUGUGCCUGCGUAGUGGAGUGUGUGUACAUUUCACUGUAAAGAGUGCACACAGAUUUUUCUGCAGGUUUGGAUGUAUGUAUACACUUUCCUGUAUGAUUAAGUGAAGAUUGCCUAUGCAGUUAAGUGUCUGUGAUCUACCUGCAUAUAUGAAAUUUGGCCCCCUUGAACACACUCAACAACUGAGCCUCAACAACCCUCUGAGGAAGAGAAUUCCAAAUAUUCACCACCCACUGAGUGAAGAAAUUCCUCCUCAUCUCAGCUCUUAAUGGCCUGCCCCUCACUCUAGAACCUCCAGCCAUGGGAAACAUCCUUCCAGCAUCUACCCUAUUGAGCGCUACCUGCAGGGAGUACACCUCGACCUUUAAGAACAGCCAGAUGAAACACAGCUGUUAGGCAGAAGCUGAACAGCACAAACACUCCAGACCAGCCAUGUACAACACUACAGAGAUCAGAAUUCGUGACUGGUUGUCUAAGUGUGUUUAUUUCUCACUGUUCACACACACAAAAGGAAGGACUGCCAGACCUCCUGCCAAGCACCUGGGACCAACCAUUCCUUAACUCAACUGCUGUGAGAUAUGUAUUGAUUACUGUGAUAAGGUAAUACAUUGUUCAUUAUUUACAUCAUAUAAUACAUCAAUAUCAAAAUUUGUGUAUUAGUAUCUUAACCAAUUAUUGUUUCAAACCUCUUUAAAUUUACAUGAAUGCACUAUGCUUUAAAACGUAACAUUUAAAAUUAAUGCUGUGUAAAUCUGUUCCGUGGAAAAAUUGUAUAAAGAUUCCAAAAUGCGACAAUAACAUUUAUUGAACGUACACUGUAUCCUGCAAUUUGCUGUAAGUAAUGACAUAGCGGAGCCACUAGUGAUAUACAAUAAAUAAAUUAAAUUGAC